UACGAAGGGGGCUAGCGUUGCUCGGAAUGACUGGGCGUAAAGGGCGCGUAGGCGGCACGGACAGUCAGGCGUGAAAUUCCUGGGCUUAACCUGGGGGCUGCGUUUGAUACGUCCGAGCUAGAGGAUGGAAGAGGCGAGUGGAAUUCCCGGUGUAGCGGUGAAAUGCGCAGAUAUCGGGAGGAACACCUAUGGCGAAGGCAGCUCGCUGGGACGUUACUGACGCUGAGACGCGAAAGCGUGGGGAGCAAACAGG
rnacentral:rRNA from 1 species